GACGAACGCUGGCGGCGUGCUUAACACAUGCAAGUCGAACGGAAAGGCCCUGCUUUUGUGGGGUGCUCGAGUGGCGAACGGGUGAGUAACACGUGAGUAACCUGCCCUUGACUUUGGGAUAACUUCAGGAAACUGGGGCUAAUACCGGAUAGGAGCUCCUGCUGCAUGGUGGGGGUUGGAAAGUUUCGGCGGUUGGGGAUGGACUCGCGGCUUAUCAGCUUGUUGGUGGGGUAGUGGCUUACCAAGGCUUUGACGGGUAGCCGGCCUGAGAGGGUGACCGGCCACGUGGGGACUGAGAUACGGCCCAGACUCCUACGGGAGGCAGCAGUGGGGAAUAUUGCACAAUGGGCGGAAGCCUGAGGCAGCAACGCCGCGUGCGGGAUGACGGCCUUCGGGUUGUAAACCGCUUUCGCCUGUGACGAAGCGUGAGUGACGGUAAUGGGUAAAGAAGCACCGGCUAACUACGUG
rnacentral:rRNA from 1 species